AUGAAGGGGGAUAAACUUCGGACAUGUAUAGAGAAAAUAUGUAGAUUCAAUGAUAAGGAGAGUAAAUCAAAUAUGAGGCAAAUAAUUAGACUAUCUACAAUGGUAAAAUUAUUCAACACUCAUUUUUCCCAUUUUUUACCCUUCACAUCAUCUUCUCUCUUCCACCUAAUAAUUCAACACCUAUUCACUUUUACUCACUACAAUGGUUUUGUUUAA